AGAGUUUGAUCAUGGCUCAGAACGAACGCUGGCGGCGUGCCUAAUACAUGCAAGUCGAGCGGACAGAUGGGAGCUUGCUCCCUGAUGUUAGCGGCGGACGGGUGAGUAACACGUGGGUAACCUGCCUGUAAGACUGGGAUAACUCCGGGAAACCGGGGCUAAUACCGGAUGCUUGUUUGAACCGCAUGGUUCAAACAUAAAAGGUGGCUUCGGCUACCACUUACAGAUGGACCCGCGGCGCAUUAGCUAGUUGGUGAGGUAAUGGCUCACCAAGGCAACGAUGCGUAGCCGACCUGAGAGGGUGAUCGGCCACACUGGGACUGAGACACGGCCCAGACUCCUACGGGAGGCAGCAGUAGGGAAUCUUCCGCAAUGGACGAAAGUCUGACGGAGCAACGCCGCGUGAGUGAUGAAGGUUUUCGGAUCGUAAAGCUCUGUUGUUAGGGAAGAACAAGUGCCGUUCAAAUAGGGCGGCACCUUGACGGUACCUAACCAGAAAGCCACGGCUAACUACGUGCCAGCAGCCGCGGUAAUACGUAGGUGGCAAGCGUUGUCCGGAAUUAUUGGGCGUAAAGGGCUCGCAGGCGGUUUCUUAAGUCUGAUGUGAAAGCCCCCGGCUCAACCGGGGAGGGUCAUUGGAAACUGGGGAACUUGAGUGCAGAAGAGGAGAGUGGAAUUCCACGUGUAGCGGUGAAAUGCGUAGAGAUGUGGAGGAACACCAGUGGCGAAGGCGACUCUCUGGUCUGUAACUGACGCUGAGGAGCGAAAGCGUGGGGAGCGAACAGGAUUAGAUACCCUGGUAGUCCACGCCGUAAACGAUGAGUGCUAAGUGUUAGGGGGUUUCCGCCCCUUAGUGCUGCAGCUAACGCAUUAAGCACUCCGCCUGGGGAGUACGGUCGCAAGACUGAAACUCAAAGGAAUUGACGGGGGCCCGCACAAGCGGUGGAGGGCAUGUGGUUUAAUUCGAAGCAACGCGAAGACUUACCAGGUCUUGACAUCCUCUGACAACCCUAGAGAUAGGGCUUCCCCUUCGGGGGCAGAGUGACAGGUGGUGCAUGGUUGUCGUCAGCUCGUGUCGUGAGAUGUUGGGUUAAGUCCCGCAACGAGCGCAACCCUUGAUCUUAGUUGCCAGCAUUCAGUUGGGCACUCUAAGGUGACUGCCGGUGACAAACCGGAGGAAGGUGGGGAUGACGUCAAAUCAUCAUGCCCCUUAUGACCUGGGCUACACACGUGCUACAAUGGACAGAACAAAGGGCAGCGAGACCGCGAGGUUAAGCCAAUCCCACAAAUCUGUUCUCAGUUCGGAUCGCAGUCUGCAACUCGACUGCGUGAAGCUGGAAUCGCUAGUAAUCGCGGAUCAGCAUGCCGCGGUGAAUACGUUCCCGGGCCUUGUACACACCGCCCGUCACACCACGAGAGUUUGUAACACCCGAAGUCGGUGAGGUAACCUUUAUGGAGCCAGCCGCCGAAGGUGGGACCGAUGAUUGGGGUGAAGUCGUAACAAGGUAAC
rnacentral:rRNA from 1 species